rnacentral:rRNA from 1 species
GACGAACGCUGGCGGCGUGCUUAACACAUGCAAGUCGAACGGUGAAGCGCCUUCCUUUUUGGUGGGUGUGGAUGAGUGGCGAACGGGUGAGUAACACGUGAGUAACCUGCCCCCUUCUUCUGGAUAACCGCAUGAAAGUGUGGCUAAUACGGGAUAUUCUGGGUCUGUCGCAUGAUGGGUCUGGGAAAGAUAUUGUUUCGGUGGGGGAUGGGCUCGCGGCCUAUCAGCUUGUUGGUGGGGUGAUGGCCUACCAAGGCGGGGACGGGUAGCCGGCCUGAGAGGGUGGCCGGCCACGCUGGGACUGAGCCCCGGCCCAGCCUCCUACGGGAGGCAGCGGGGGGGAUUAUUGCACAAUGGGCGCAAGCCUGAUGCAGCGACGCCGCGUGAGGGAUGGCGGCCUUCGGGUUGUGAACCUCUUUCGCCAGUGAAGCAGGCCUGCCUCGUUUGUGGGUGGGUUGACGGUAGCUGGAUAAGAAGCGCCGGCUAACUACGUG